GAGUUUGAUCAUGGCUCAGAACGUACGCUGGCGGCACGCCUAACACAUGCAAGUCGAACGAAGUAGCAAUACUUAGUGGCAGACGGGUGAGUAACAUGUAGGUAUCUGCCCUUUGGCCUGGAAUAAUACGAGGAAACUUGUGCUAAUACCGGAUAAGUCUUUACGGAGAAAGCUUUGUGCACCAUUGGAUGAGCCUGCACUUGAUUAGUUUGUUGGUGGGGUAAUGGCCUACCAAGACUGUGAUCAAUAGCUGAUUUGAGAGGAUGAUCAGCCACAUUGGGACUGAGACACGGCCCAAACUCCUACGGGAGGCAGCAGUGGGGAAUCUUGCACAAUGGAGGAAACUCUGAUGCAGCGAUGCCGCGUGAGUGAAGAAGGCCCUUGGGUUGUAAAGCUCUUUCGUCGGGGAAGAAAAUGACUGUACCCGAAUAAGAAGGUCCGGCUAACUUCGUGCCAGCAGCCGCGGUAAUACGAAGGGACCUAGCGUAGUUCGGAAUUACUGGGCUUAAAGAGUUCGUAGGUGGUUGAAAAAGUUGGUGGUGAAAUCCCAGAGCUUAACUCUGGAACUGCCAUCAAAACUUUUCAGCUAGAGUAUGAUAGGGGAAAGCAGAAUUUCUAGUGUAGAGGUGAAAUUCGUAGAUAUUAGAAAGAAUACCAAUUGCGAAGGCAGCUUUCUGGAUCAUUACUGACACUGAGGAACGAAAGCAUGGGUAGCGAAGAGGAUUAGAUACCCUCGUAGUCCAUGCCGUAAACGAUGUGUGUUAGACGUUGGAAAUUUAUUUUCAGUGUCGCAGGAAAACCGAUAAACACACCGCCUGGGGAGUACGACCGCAAGGUUAAAACUCAAAUGAAUUGACGGGGACCCGCACAAGUAGUGGAGCAUGUGGUUUAAUUCGAAGAUACGCGCAGAACCUUACCAACACUUGACAUGUUCGUCGCGACUCUAAGAGAUUAGAGUUUUCGGUUCGGCCGGACGAAACACAGGUGCUGCAUGGCUGUCGUCAGCUCGUGUCGUGAGAUGUUGGGUUAAGUCCCGCAACGAGCGCAACCCUCACUUUUAGUUGCCAUCAUUAAGUUGGGCACUCUGAAAGAACUGCCAGUGAUAAGCUGGAGGAAGGUGGGGAUGACGUCAAGUCCUCAUGGCCCUUACGUGUUGGGCUACACACGUGCUACAAUGGUAUCUACAACAGGAAGCAAGACUGCGAAGUUAAGCAAAUCCCUAAAAGAUACCUCAGUUCGGAUUGCACUCUGCAACUCGAGUGCAUGAAGCUGGAAUUACUAGUAAUCGUGGAUCAGCGUGCCACGGUGAAUGCGUUCCCGGGUCUUGUACACACCGCCCGUCACACCAUGGGAGUCGGUUCUACCUUAAGGCAAGGUUUCAAACCCUUGACCACGGUAUAGUCAGCGACUGGGGUGAAGUCGUAACAAGGUAACC
rnacentral:rRNA from 1 species